UACGGGGGGGGCAAGCGUUGUUCGGAAUUACUGGGCGUAAAGGGCGCGUAGGCGGCCUGCUAAGUCGGAUGUGAAAUCCCUCGGCUCAACCGGGGAACUGCAUCCGAUACUGGCGGGCUUGAAUCCGGGAGAGGGAUGUGGAAUUCCAGGUGUAGCGGUGAAAUGCGUAGAUAUCUGGAGGAACACUGGUGGCGAAGGCGGCAUCCUGGACCGGUAUUGACGCUGAGGCGCGAAAGCGUGGGGAGCGAACAGG
rnacentral:rRNA from 1 species